rnacentral:rRNA from 1 species
GAUGGACGCUGGCGGCGUGCCUAACACAUGCAAGUCGAGCGAACCCUUCGGGGUGAGCGGCGGACGGGUGAGUAACGCGUGGGUAACCUGCCCUAUACACACGGAUAACGUACCGAAAGGUACGCUAAUACGGGAUAAAGUUGUUGGAUGGCAUCUUCUAACAAUCAAAGCUCCGGCGGUAUAGGAUGGACCCGCGUCUGAUUAGCUAGUUGGUGAGGUAAUGGCUUACCAAGGCGACGAUCAGUAGCCGACCUGAGAGGGUGAUCGGCCACACUGGAACAGAGACACGGUCCAGACUCCUACGGGAGGCAGCAGUGGGGAAUAUUGCACAAUGGGCGAAAGCCUGAUGCAGCAACGCCGCGUGAGCGAUGAAGGUCUUCGGAUCGUAAAGCUCUGUCCUCAAGGAAGAUAGUGACGGUACUUGAGGAGGAAGCCCCGGCUAACUACGUGCCAGCCGCCGCAGUAA